GAUGAACGCUGGCGGCGUGCUUAACACAUGCAAGUCGAACGAGAAAUGUAGACGGACACCUUCGGGCGGAAGCCUUCAUUUCGAGUGGCGGACGGGUGAGUAACGCGUGGGUAACCUGCCUCAUACAGGGGGAUAACAGUUGGAAACGACUGUUAAUACCGCAUAAGACCACAGCAUCGCAUGAUGCGGGGGUAAAAACUCCGGUGGUAUGAGAUGGACCCGCGUUCGAUUAGCCAGUUGGCGGGGUAACGGCCCACCAAAGCGACGAUCGAUAGCCGAUCUGAGAGGAUGACCGGCCACAUUGGGACUGAGACACGGCCCAAACUCCUACGGGAGGCAGCAGUGGGGAAUAUUGCACAAUGGGGGAAACCCUGAUGCAGCGACGCCGCGUGAGUGAAGAAGUACUUCGGUAUGUAAAGCUCUAUCAGUAGGGAAGAAAAUGACGGUACCUGAGUAAGAAGCCCCGGCUAACUACGUG
rnacentral:rRNA from 1 species